UGCAUCGGCCGGGAAUCGAACCCAGGCGAGCAUUCUACCACUGAACCACCGAUGC
rnacentral:tRNA from 1 species